rnacentral:rRNA from 1 species
GUGGGGAAUAUUGCACAAUGGGCGCAAGCCUGAUGCAGCCAUGCCGCGUGUAUGAAGAAGGCCUUCGGGUUGUAAAGUACUUUCAGCGGGGAGGAAGGCGGUGGAGUUAAUAACUUCACCGAUUGACGUUACCCGCAGAAGAAGCACCGGCUAACUCCGUGCCAGCAGCCGCGGUAAUACGGAGGGUGCAAGCGUUAAUCGGAAUUACUGGGCGUAAAGCGCACGCAGGCGGUCUGUCAAGUCGGAUGUGAAAUCCCCGGGCUUAACCUGGGAACUGCAUUCGAAACUGGCAGGCUAGAGUCUUGUAGAGGGGGGUAGAAUUCCAGGUGUAGCGGUGAAAUGCGUAGAGAUCUGGAGGAAUACCGGUGGCGAAGGCGGCCCCCUGGACAAAGACUGACGCUCAGGUGCGAAAGCGUGGGGAGCAAACAGG